rnacentral:rRNA from 1 species
UACGGGGGGGGCAAGCGUUGUUCGGAAUUACUGGGCGUAAAGGGUUCGUAGGUGGCUCGCUAAGCCAGACGUGAAAUCCCUCAGCUUAACUGGGGAACUGCGUCUGGGACUGGCGAGCUCGAGUGCGGGAGAGGAAUGCGGAAUUCCAGGUGUAGCGGUGAAAUGCGUAGAUAUCUGGAGGAACACCGGUGGCGAAGGCGGCAUUCUGGACUGCAACUGACACUGAGGAACGAAAGCCAGGGGAGCAAACGGG